CAGUAGCCGCGGGAAUACGUAGGUGGCAAGCGUUGUCCGGAAUUAUUGGGCGUAAAGGGCUCGCAGGCGGUUUCUUAAGUCUGAUGUGAAAGCCCCCGGCUCAACCGGGGAGGGUCAUUGGAAACUGGGAAACUUGAGUGCAGAAGAGGAGAGUGGAAUUCCACGUGUAGUGGUGAAAUGCGUAGAGAUGUGGAGGAACACCAGUGGCGAAGGCGACUCUCUGGUCUGUAACUGACGCUGAGGAGCGAAAGCGUGGGGAGCGAACAGGACUAGAUACCCCUGUAGUCCCUGUCUCUUAUAA
rnacentral:rRNA from 1 species